rnacentral:lncRNA from 1 species
GAUAAACUUCCAAACAAUUAAACAAAUUAACAUCAAUUUAAUAAUUUAAAUCAAAAACUUCAUAAAAAGGGUUCAUCACAUCCUAACAAUAAAGAACUUAACCUAACAUACAGUCGGAAUUAAACAAAUAAAGUUUGAACGACAUCGCUGAGUAAUUGACAGAACCUGAAUAAUUUUCAAAGUAAAUUUGUCGUCUUUUCCUCAAAAAUCAGCUGCCGUUUUCUGUGUUUUUUCUUUGUAAAUGUGUUGUCCGCUUUCUUCUCCAAUAGCAGCUGCUCCUUUUUUUCUUUUGUGUUUUCAUAAUAUGUAUUUUCAGCUGCCUUAUAAAUUUCUAGCCUAUAUAUAUAUAUAUAUAAAGCAGUCCAAUUCCCACCAAUUGAAAGUCCAAUUCCGCCUCCGAAAGUGUCGGCAACCUCCACCUUUUUUUUUUUGGGUCUCUCCUUCUUCACAGCUGCCAAUGUUGUCUCCAGAAGCUACCGUCUUCUAUGCUCGUAUAUAUCUUUAACCCUCCAACUUGGAUUUUCUCUAAAUCAGCCCAAGGUCGCCUCCAAAGCUGGUGCCUACGUGAGCGCGCGCGCGGAUAGAUAUUAACCUGGCAGCAGGCAUCCCACCUCUCUCCUCCUUUAUUUAUUUAUUUAAUUUUUUUUUUUACAUGUUACAAUUAAGACAAAAAUUGUUGUUUUGUUUUUUUUUUUUGUGAUACCCAGGUGUCCUAGUUUCGUCAGACUAAAUUCAGAACCUCUAGCCACCGGCUCCUCAGUGAUUCGAGGAGGUAAAUCGCAUGUCAUGCUCUUGUUGGCUCCCAGAUUCCCACUUGGUUUAUACUCCUGGGCCCAAGAGAAUCCUCUCCAUUGCGUUGAUCAAGAAUCGAACUCUACACGCUGAAGUUGCAAGCCCUUUAUAGUGAUUGUUCCACCAACUCGAAUGUGCCCUGAGGGCACCUCCCUCCUUUUUUCUUUUUUAUUUUUUUGUUUUGGUGCAUGUGCGUGUAUAUCUAUCUCUAUACUCAACAGUAGGCAACUCGUUUUUAAUUAAUCCAACAAAGGUCAAAUUGUUUUUUUUCUUUUACUUCGAUUCCAAAUACAAGUCCAAAUGAGGCCCAUUUAACAUAUUAUUUUCUUCAAAGUUUCAUCUUGUUCAAGUAAUAAAAGUUAGUCCUUGUACUUUGAAUUUUGUCAUUUUUUGCUGGUGCUUGCU